rfam:Ornithorhynchus anatinus chromosome 7, whole genome shotgun sequence.
CCCCUCUCAGGAUCACUCCUGGAGACUUUCUAGCACUCUACCAGUCUCGACUAUGGGAGGGAGAGUCAAGCGGAGGCAUACCCAUUCCAUUCCUAGCUUGGCCAGUGGCUAGCGAGUGGAAGGCAAUCUGCUACAAGU